AAACCGGGGCUAAUACCGGAUAACAUUUUGAACCGCAUGGUUCGAAAUUGAAAGGCGGCUUCGGCUGUCACUUAUGGAUGGACCCGCGUCGCAUUAGCUAGUUGGUGAGGUAACGGCUCACCAAGGCAACGAUGCGUAGCCGACCUGAGAGGGUGAUCGGCCACACUGGGACUGAGACACGGCCCAGACUCCUACGGGAGGCAGCAGUAGGGAAUCUUCCGCAAUGGACGAAAGUCUGACGGAGCAACGCCGCGUGAGUGAUGAAGGCUUUCGGGUCGUAAAACUCUGUUGUUAGGGAAGAACAAGUGCUAGUUGAAUAAGCUGGCACCUUGACGGUACCUAACCAGAAAGCCACGGCUAACUACGUGCCAGCAGCCGCGGUAAUACGUAGGUGGCAAGCGUUAUCCGGAAUUAUUGGGCGUAAAGCGCGCGCAGGUGGUUUCUUAAGUCUGAUGUGAAAGCCCACGGCUCAACCGUGGAGGGUCAUUG
rnacentral:rRNA from 1 species